rnacentral:hammerhead_ribozyme from 1 species
AUCCAGCUGACAUGUCCCGAAUAGGACGAAACGCAUGUCCUGGAU